rnacentral:rRNA from 1 species
GACGAACGCUGGCUGCGUGCUUAACACAUGCAAGUCGAACGAUGAACCCGGAGCUUGCUCCGGCGGAUUAGUGGCGAACGGGUGAGUAACACGUGAGUAACCUGCCCUUGACUCUGGGAUAACUGCGGGAAACUGUAGCUAAUACCGGAUACGACCCUCGGCGGCAUCGCCAGGGGGUGGAAAGAAUUUCGGUCAAGGAUGGACUCGCGGCCUAUCAGCUAGUUGGUGAGGUAACGGCUCACCAAGGCGACGACGGGUAGCCGGCCUGAGAGGGGGACCGGCCACGCUGGGACUGAGACACGGCCCAGACUCCUACGGGAGGCAGCAGUGGGGAAUAUUGCACAAUGGGCGCAAGCCGGAUGCAGCAACGCCGCGUGAGGGAUGACGGCCUUCGGGUUGUAAACCUCUUUUAGUAGGGAAGAAGCGAAAGUGACGGUACCUGCAGAAAAAGCACCGGCUAACUACGUGCCAGCCGCCGCCGUAA